AUUAACUUCAUUUUUCAGUUUUUAGAUACAAUGUUUUGACUCUUUGUCUAAUUUAAAAAUUUUUUGUGAUUAAUAUUUUUAUUGUUACCGGAUAGUAAAACAUAAAUAGUACUUUAUGCGUGACUAGUUUCUUUAAGUUUUUUUAUAAAUUUUUCAAAUAAGAUGGAUGGUCAAACGUUGGAGCAUAGAAAUCGAAAAAUAAAGUUAUU
rnacentral:pre_miRNA from 1 species